rnacentral:rRNA from 1 species
GACGAACCGUGCGAACGUUGUUCGGAAUCACUGGGCGUAAAGGGUGCGUAGGCGGAUUUUUAAGUCAGGGGUGAAAUCCCGGGGCUCAACCUCGGAACUGCCUUUGAUACUGGAGAUCUUGAGUCCGGAAGAGGUAAGUGGAACUGCGAGUGUAGAGGUGAAAUUCGUAGAUAUUCGCAAGAACACCAGUGGCGAAGGCGGCUUACUGGUCCGGAACUGACGCUGAGGUGCGAAAGCGUGGGGAGCAAACAGG